UCUCUCGGCUUGCACUAAGGAGGAGGUCACGUGAGCACACAGUGAGAAGGCGGAGGACCAUCUGCAAGCAGGAAGAGAGCCCUCGCUAGAACCCCCCACGGUGGCAUCUGAUAGUGGACUUCUAGCUUCCAGAACUGAACUCAUAAAUGUCACAUCAGGCUGCCUCUUGGUGAAUUUUUAAUCAACGGGGAGAAUUUCAGCUACAAAUAGACCAAGAAUCAAGAGGCCCACUAUUGAUCGGUCAAAGUGGCACUUAUGAACCUGAGGUUGAAGCAGUUUGGAUAAAAGGAUUCUGGGCUUUCGAUGGCCCCAGAGACAUCUUUUUCCAUCAAGUCCAGGCUUGCUGAUCGGUACAGCUGAGAACAUGUUGAAUUUGAUGUGCCUGUGGAUAUUUGAGUCUGGAACAUUGAAGACAAGUUUGGUCUGGAGAUGUAGACUGGGGAUAUCUCAGCACACAGAUGAUAACUGAAAUGAUGGAGCGGAUGAUAUAAACUGGAGAGAGUCUGGUGUGGGAAGAGUCUUCCCUGAGGUGGCCGAAAGAUGUAAUUCUUACUCCAAAGACUGAAAUAGAGACAAGAGAAGCUGAAGUUACAGGGUUUUGUCAUUGGGAAGACAGUAGAGUGUGUCAUAUCCCAAGAGUGAAGCAAGGACAAACCAAAGAACAACUGGGAAGAUCUGGGAGAAAAAGGACAGGGUCUUACUUUGUUGCCAAGGCUGGCUUCAAACUCCUGACUUCAAGAGAUCCUCCCACCCCACCCACCCAAAGUGCUGGGAUUACAGGUGUGCGCCACUGUGCCUAGCGGGUCAUCAGUCUUUGAGAUGCUGUUGACAAAGCCAUUUGAUGAUAUCAAAGAAGGAAUGAAGCAUAAGGUUUUUUGGCCCCUCUGCUUGGGAUGCCACUUGCAGGCAGAACUCUCCACAGUUUUACCAUCCAGUGAAGAAUCACCUGUUUAUAGCCUGUGUAAAAUCAAUGAUGCUUCUUGGAAACAAGUCUAUUCUCAUAGACAGC
rnacentral:lncRNA from 1 species